GACGAACGCUGGCGGCGUGCUUAACACAUGCAAGUCGAACGGUAAGGCCCUUCGGGGUACACGAGUGGCGAACGGGUGAGUAACACGUGGGUGAUCUGCCCUGCACUUCGGGAUAAGCCUGGGAAACUGGGUCUAAUACCGGAUAGGACCCUGGGAUGCAUGUCCUGGGGUGGAAAGCUUUUGCGGUGUGGGAUGGGCCCGCGGCCUAUCAGCUUGUUGGUGGGGUGAUGGCCUACCAAGGCGACGACGGGUAGCCGGCCUGAGAGGGUGACCGGCGGCACUGGGACUGAGAUACGGCCCAGACUCCUACGGGAGGCAGCGGUGGGGAAUAUUGCACAAUGGGCGCAAGCCUGAUGCAGCGACGCCGCGUGAGGGAUGACGGCCUUCGGGUUGUAAACCUCUUUCAGCACCGACGAAGCGCAAGUGACGGUAGGUGCAGAAGAAGGACCGGCCAACUACGUGCCAGCAGCCGCCGCAG
rnacentral:rRNA from 1 species